rnacentral:miRNA from 1 species
CAGUGUUGGUCAUGCGGGGCG